rnacentral:rRNA from 1 species
AUUGAACGCUGGCGGCAUGCCUUACACAUGCAAGUCGAACGGCAGCGCGGGAGCAAUCCUGGCGGCGAGUGGCGAACGGGUGAGUAAUACAUCGGAACGUGCCCAAUCGUGGGGGAUAACGCAGCGAAAGCUGUGCUAAUACCGCAUACGAUCUACGGAUGAAAGCAGGGGAUCGCAAGACCUUGCGCGAAUGGAGCGGCCGAUGGCAGAUUAGGUAGUUGGUGAGGUAAAGGCUCACCAAGCCUUCGAUCUGUAGCUGGUCUGAGAGGACGACCAGCCACACUGGGCCUGAGACACGGCCCAGACUCCUACGGGAGGCAGCAGUGGGGAAUUUUGGACAAUGGGCGAAAGCCUGAUCCAGCCAUGCCGCGUGCAGGAUGAAGGCCUUCGGGUUGUAAACUGCUUUUGUACGGAACGAAACGGUCUUUUCUAAUAAAGAAGGCUAAUGACGGUACCGUAAGAAUAAGCACCGGCUAACUACGU